GGAAAGCGUCCCACGGUGGGGGCGCGCCGGUCUCCCGGAGCGGGACCGGGUCGGAGGAUGGACGAGAAUCACGAGCGAUGUGGCCCUGGCGUUGAGUUUGUGGCUGUGGUCGCUUCGGGGCCCCGGUGGCGGGACCAGGGGCUCGUGAGGCAGGUCUUGAAAUACUAGGCUUUAGAAUUUCACCAUAUGAAUUUUGGGAGAGAGGAGCACAGUUCAGCCCAUAACUAACACACGACGGAAUGAAGUUGAUAAUAGUGAGACCUUGUUGGUACAAGACUAUGUAACAUAACCUGCGCUUCUCAACAAAGAAUUGCUUUUCUGACUUCUGCACUCAAUAGCAAGACAAAUCUCUCCUCUGCCUUCUCCUUAUCAGACUACUCAACAUGAAGGCAAUAAGAAUGAAGACCUCUAUGUAUAAUAAUUGACUUCCACUUAAUAAAUACCUGAACAGAUGUUGAGUACAAGCUGAUCCACCUACGUUCAACCUGAGAGAGUCCACAUCCACAGACUGUUUCAUUUCCCUUUUUCAAUUUACAUAGAAGCAUAGAUUCUUGCUGGCAUAUACAAAUGCGCCAUUUAAGGCAAUCAAAAAUGGUUCCACAUCUCAUCUGAUUUCCACAAUUGUUGCUGUAACGAUGGACUACUGAGGAGAGAGACAAUUUCUCUGGCACAUCUUCCCACAUUUUAGCAACAUGUUCAUGGAGAGCCAAUAUUCAGUAAUUACAGCCCAAUUCCUCACAAUUUCACAAUUCGCUAACAAUAUGCAUUUUCACAAUGUAAAGCUGAUUUUCCUUUAACCAAAUCAAACAUGAAAAGAUAGCUGCAUGCAAUGGGCAAUCUAGAUCAUUAGAAGAUUGAUGUAAAAUUAGAGGACACUGAGACUGGAAUAGAUUGCAAACUUCAGGGAGCUCAGAAAACUUGUAAACUCUACAUUUUGAGGAAAUAUGUUGUCGAUGCUUUUGCAACUCUAUGCAGUAACUUAACAAAUAAAGCCUUAAAGUAAC
ensembl:lncRNA MIR663AHG MIR663A host gene